AUUGAACGCUGGCGGCAGGCCUAACACAUGCAAGUCGAGCGGAGCGGCGGACGGGUGAGUAAUGCCUAGGAAUCUGCCUGGUAGUGGGGGAUAACGUCCGGAAACGGGCGCUAAUACCGCAUACUAUCAGAUGAGCCUAGGUCGGAUUAGCUAGUUGGUGGGGUAAAGGCCUACCAAGGCGACGAUCCGUAACUGGUCUGAGAGGAUGAUCAGUCACACUGGAAGUUGGACACGGUCCAGACUCCUACGGGAGGCAGCAGUGGGGAAUAUUGGACAAUUGGCGAAAGCCUGGUCAAGCAAUGCCGGGUGUGUGAAGAAGGUCUUCAGAUUGUAAAGCGCUUUAAGAUGGGAGACGUUACCAACAGAAUAGAGGCCGUCUAGCUUCGUGACAGCAGCCGCGGUAAUAC
rnacentral:rRNA from 1 species